rnacentral:lncRNA from 1 species
GCAAGGUUUCAUUCUCCAGCAGGAGACAUGGGGCAGAGCCCAGCAAUUAUGUGCUGAUGGCCGUCAACCUAGCUCAUCCUGGGGACAGAGAUUCCAGCCCCGGCAGCCGUCAGAAUAUAAAUAUAUAUAUUCAUGAGAGUCAAAAGGUAAUUUCUACGUGUCUCAAAUUGCAUCCUAUCUUUCCCUUCUCAAUUUUUCUCUCCUGCGGAACAUAAAAUUAAAGGCUUCAGAAUAUUACACCUUUUAGUAGUUACCAGGUGACAGGGAAUCAAGGUGUCAAGGUUAUUGACAGACCUGACGUGUUGAACUUGGCUUUGGAGUAUCCCUUUAUCAGAGCUACCAUCGGGGCACUUUGCAACCCCGUCCCAGAGACCAUAAUAAUUAAUUUAGGCACAACACAACCACAGUGGAAACUCCUACAAACAGUUUUGCCGGCACGCCUUCAGAACAUUUGGGGCUCCCUGGGAUUCCACUUCAUUGGAGGUCAGAGGUGAUAGGGCUUGGGGUUCAGAAUCAGGCCUUUCUACCAAGACAACCUGGCACACGUCCUGGCUCUGUCCCUUCUCAGCUUUGUGGCCGUGGACCUGUCACUUGCUUCUAAGAAGUUUGGUUUCUUCCACCGCAGAUUGGGGGCAAAACUUGUUCCAACAGCAUGAGACUUCUCUGACAUCUCAAGGAUCCCAUUUCCCGCCUUUAUUUUGUGCUGGGCACUGAGGACAGGAUGGAGACCCAGCUGGGUGGGUCCCUGCUGUCCACCAUGCAGCAUGUACAUGCUAGAAAAACCACAGGCUCCCAACCUGACGCCGCUGCUGAUCCAUGGACCAAACUGAAUAACAAGUAUCUAGAGCCAAGCCGCCCAGCCUGGCAGGUACUGGCUACGUGCAGCCACUGAGCUCUUGAGAUGUGGCUCAUCCAAAUUGACAUGUGCCUUCCAUGUGACAUACACACCAGAUUUCAAAGACUCUGUGACCCCAAAGUGUAAACUAUCUCAUUAAUAAUUUUU